GCCGGGUGUGGUGGUGUGCACCUGUAGUCCCAGCUACUUGGGAGGCUGAGGCAGGAGAAUUGCUUGAACCCGGGAGAUGGAGGUUGCAGUGAGCCGAGAUCGCACCACUGCACUCCAGCCUGGGUGACAGAGCGAGACUCUGUCUCAA
rnacentral:SRP_RNA from 1 species